rnacentral:rRNA from 1 species
GAUGAACGCUGGCGGCGUGCCUAAUACAUGCAAGUCGAGCGAACAGACGAGGAGCUUGCUCCUCUGACGUUAGCGGCGGACGGGUGAGUAACACGUGGAUAACCUACCUAUAAGACUGGGAUAACUUCGGGAAACCGGAGAUAAUACCGGAUAAUAUAUUGAACCGCAUGGUUCAAUAGUGAAAGACGGUUUUGCUGUCACUUAUAGAUGGAUCCGCGCCGCAUUAGCUAGUUGGUAAGGUAACGGCUUACCAAGGCAACGAUGCGUAGCCGACCUGAGAGGGUGAUCGGCCACACUGGAACUGAGACACGGUCCAGACUCCUACGGGAGGCAGCAGUAGGGAAUCUUCCGCAAUGGGCGAAAGCCUGACGGAGCAACGCCGCGUGAGUGAUGAAGGUCUUCGGAUCGUAAAGCUCUGUUAUUAGGGAAGAACAAAUGUGUAAGUAACUAUGCACGUCUUGACGGUACCUAAUCAGAAAGCCACGGCUAACUACGUG